GUGCUCACUUCAAUAGCACAUAUUCUAAAAUUGAAAAAAUAUAGACAAUAUUAACACAGUCCCUGCACAAGAACUGUCUCUUAUACACAUCUAGAUGUGUAU
rnacentral:snRNA from 1 species